rnacentral:rRNA from 1 species
AACGAACGCUGGCGGCAUGCCUAACACAUGCAAGUCGAACGAAGCCUUCGGGCUUAGUGGCGCACGGGUGCGUAACGCGUGGGAAUCUGCCCUUGGGUUCGGAAUAACAGUUAGAAAUGACUGCUAAUACCGGAUGAUGUCUUCGGACCAAAGAUUUAUCGCCCAAGGAUGAGCCCGCGUAGGAUUAGGUAGUUGGUGGGGUAAUGGCCCACCAAGCCGACGAUCCUUAGCUGGUCUGAGAGGAUGAUCAGGCACACUGGGACUGAGACACGGCCCAGACUCCUACGGAAGGCAGCAGUGGGGAAUAUUGGACAAUGGGCGAAAGCCUGAUCCAGCAAUGCCGCGUGAGUGAUGAAGGCCUUAGGGUUGUAAAGCUCUUUUACCAGGGAUGAUAAUGACGGUACCUGGAGAAUAAGCUCCGGCUAACUCCGUGCCAGCCGCCGCGGUAA